rnacentral:rRNA from 1 species
CGAAAGCCUGACGGAGCAAUACCGCGUGAGGGAGGAAGGCUCUUGGGUUGUAAACCUCUUUUCUCAGGGAAGAAAAAAUGACGGUACCUGAGGAAUAAGCAUCGGCUAACUCUGUGCCAGCAGCCGCGGUAAUACAGAGGAUGCAAGCGUUAUCCGGAAUGAUUGGGCGUAAAGCGUCCGCAGGUGGUUUUGUGAGUCUGCUGUUAAAGCGUGCAGCUUAACUGCAUAAAGGCGGUGGAAACUACAAGACUAGAGUACGUUAGGGGUAGAGGGAAUUCCCAGUGUAGCGGUGAAAUGCGUAGAGAUUGGGAAGAACACCAGUGGCGAAGGCGCUCUGCUAGGACUGUACUGACACUGAGGGACGAAAGCU